GGCCAGGCUGGUGCUUUCAUUAAUUCUUGUUUAUUUUUUAUUAUUUUUUUUUUCUGGUUAAAAAUAGGUCUUGGUGACCUUUGGAAGUGACCUUGAAGGGGAAAAAUUCGCUGAAGGGCUACGUAUAGCCUGAACUGAAGGUUGAGCCUGGUGGCUAAUGCCUGUAAUCCUAGCACUUUGGGAAGCUGAGAUGGGAAGACUGCUUGAGCCCAGGAGUUCUGUGCUGCAGAAGGCCAUGAUCCCACCACUGCACUUCAGUAGGAACAGAGCGAGAACUUGUCUCUAAUAAUAAAAAAAAAAAGUACACAUUAAACCAAAA